rnacentral:rRNA from 1 species
GACGAACGCUGGCGGCGUGCUUAACACAUGCAAGUCGAACGGAAAGGCCCUGCUUUUGUGGGGUGCUCGAGUGGCGAACGGGUGAGUAACACGUGAGUAACCUGCCCUUGACUUUGGGAUAACUUCAGGAAACUGGGGCUAAUACCGGAUAGGAGCUCCUGCUGCAUGGUGGGGGUUGGAAAGUUUCGGCGGUUGGGGAUGGACUCGCGGCUUAUCAGCUUGUUGGUGGGGUAGUGGCUUACCAAGGCUUUGACGGGUAGCCGGCCUGAGAGGGUGACCGGCCACAUUGGGACUGGGAUACGGCCCAGACUCCUACGGGAGGCAGCGGUGGGGGAUAUUGCACAAUGGGCGGAAGCCUGAUGCAGCAACGCCGCGUGCGGGAUGACGGCCUUCGGGUUGUAAACCGCUUUCGCCUGUGACGAAGCGUGAGUGACGGUAAUGGGUAAAGAAGCACCGGCUAACUACGUG